rnacentral:lncRNA from 1 species
GAGGGGGCAGUGGAGGGAGUAGUCGCUGGACCUCGGAGCUCCCUCAGCAGAUCGUCCCGAAGGUCCCUGACGAUCUCCUGUCGCAACUCCCAGAGCUGCUCAGGUGAUAUCCGGACUUCUAAUGGCUGAGUAGGUGGAGCAGUGGAGGGUCCGGCAGAGGUGGAUGGUGCUGAGGUGGAGGGAAAGGUGGGAAUGUCUGAAUCAGGGUCAGGAUUGGGGGAGUGUCUGGUAGUAUGUGUUGAGGUAGAUGGUUUCCUGACCCAGGUUCC